UAGUUACAUUUUAUUAAUUAAAUGUAAAUUUACUUUUACAAAACUGCCACAAGAUAUAAAUACAGAUAUUACACUAAUUGCACAAUUGAAGCACCUGAUGACAGCUAAUAUUAUAUGCAAAAAUAUACAUAAUUUUAUUGAUAUUAUGUAAUAUUAAAUAAAAUCACGAGAAGGCAUUGGAUAUACCUUUCAACGAUAAACAAUACGAUAUUAGUAAAUUGUGUUCGGAUUGCCAUCCUCUGUGAGAUGUCAGCGUAAAGCUGGCUUCAGGAUAGGCCUGAGAGGGGCUUGUAUUACAACAAAGCUUCCGUACACAAAAAGCCGAUGGAAAUGAUGAUUAGUCCCCUGAUAGCAAUAAUAGAAAUAAGGGCCUGUCCAGCAGACGGCAUAGCAAAACACUGAUCUAGUUACCAUGGUUACUGUUACAAAAUACCAAUCUAAUUACCAUGGUUACUGUAACAAAAUACCAAUCUAGUUACCAUGGUUACUGUUACAAAAUACCAAUCUAGUCACCAUGGUUACGGUAACAAAACACCAAUCUAGUUACCAUGGUUAGCAUUACAAAAAAAAAUCUAAUCACCAUGGUUACCAUAACAAAAUACCAAUCUAGUUACCAUGGUUACCAUUACAAAACACCAAUCAAGUUACCAUGGUUAGCAUUACAAAAAAAAAUCUAAUCACCAUGGUUACCAUAACAAAAUACCAAUCUAGUUACCAUGGUUACCAUUACAAAACACCAAUCAAGUUACCAUGGUUAUCGUACAAUCUUAUGCCGUAUAUCUUCUAAUGAUACUACUGUUCAUAUCAUUGGUUCCUCUGUUACAUUAGAUGUGCUAAUAUUUGAUCACAAUGUUUCUAUGAGGAACUAUAAGUUUCUAUAAGUAACUAUUAGUAUCGCGAAAGCUUUGCUGAAGUCUGAUGGUAUUAUAAGUGUUAACAGUUGUGAGAGCUCAUAGUGCCUCCAGUAAAUUUAAUACAAUGUACGUGACUUUAAUGUAGUAAUUAAUCUUAACAAAGAACAAUAACAAAUAAAUCACCAUUAAAACUUCAUUUAACAAAACAAAACAAAAAACUUUGUACAAAAAAUCAUGAAACAUUUUUCAGGAUGGUAACUAUGCAUGUAAAUAGACUUUUGCGUAUCACAACCAGUACCAUCAUCAGAUACCCACGGUUGAUUACACUUCACUGCCUAACUUAAUGUAACAGUUCAAUCAACCGUGUGUAUCCAACGAUAAACCAGUUUAUGUUUUUCUAUGUGUAACUUUUCCCAAAAUAUCACGUAUAGAUGGUGCUGACAUAAAAUCACACUUGUACAAAACCUCUAUCCUCUGUCAUGUUUUAAUGAUUUACCAUAUGAACUACUAAUUUCAUUUCAGGACAGCAGACGGGAAAAAAGAGGUGCAUACAGAGGUAAAAUGAAAGGAUUCACAUGUAAUAUUCAUAUACUGGGACUACUACAGUAUCACGCUUACACAGACACUUCAGAUGGAGUAGGAAUUUUGAAAAUUUAACUUCUAACAUAAGCGACCUAUGUGAUAAAUGGAACUCAACAUUAGUUCUUAACAAGGGACUGUCACAAACAACUGGGACAAUAUAAGACGACAGCCAGGGCUAGACAGAAUUACUGACACAAGUUUUUUUUUAAUGUAACAGAGUUUACCAUUAUCCUAUGGCCUAGUU